ensembl:lncRNA
AUGAUCAGUCAGUCUUCAUUCUCCUUCUCUCUUCUCUCCCUUCUUUUUUCUUCUUUAACUCCUACACCAAAUCCUUGUUCUUCAUUCUCCUCCUCCCCUCUGUGCUCCCUUCCUCCCACUCUGUUUCAGAUGUUUGAUGAGAAUUGGUUUAGUGGUUCUGGGCCCGAGGGUUCAGGUUUGGGCUCGGGGCUCUCUUAUGACCUCGGCUCUGGUUUCAGCUCUGGGUUCAGUCCCAAGUCCAGCUUUGCCUCUGGUUCUGGGCCUGACUUUGGGUCUGCUUGGGGUUCAGGCGAGGGUCCAUCAGGAAGGGAUGGGGAUCCAGGUCUACCUGGAGCAGUGGGAGCAAAGGGUAACCAAGGGUUAUCUGGGCCAACUGGGCCAAAGGGUGAAUGUGGGUCUGAAGGUAAAGCAGGGUCUCCAGGGUUACCAGGGCCCAGUGGUCCACCAGGGAAGAGAGGCCCAGCAGGUCCCCCGGGACCUCCUGGCCCGCCAGCAACCACGUUCUUUAUCGAGGAUAUGGAGGGAUCCGGGAAGAGUGACAUGAGAGUCAGAGGCCCACAGGUUUGUGCCAGAGAGUGUGUUUUUAAAUACAUGAUUUACAUUGUUUCAUUUAAAAUAUCAAAUCAUUUUAUUAUCAUUUUUUGUAGGGCCCCCCUGGCAUACCUGGCCCUCAGGGUGCCAAGGUAA